ACUCGAUUAGCUUAAUGGUAAAGCACAGUACUGAAGAUACUGUGAACUAUGUUCAAUUCAUAGAUUGAGUG
rnacentral:tRNA from 1 species